UACAGGGGGUGCAAGCGUUGUUCGGAAUCACUGGGCGUAAAGGGAGCGUAGGCGGGACUACAAGACAGAGGUCAAAUCUCCGGGCUCAACCUGGAACUUGCCUUUGUGACUGUAGCCCUUGAGUAUGGUAGAGGUUGGCGGAAUUUCCGGUGUAGCGGUGGAAUGCGUAGAGAUCGGAAAGAACACCAGAGGCGAAGGCGGCCAACUGGACCAAUACUGACGCUGAGGCUCGAAAGCGUGGGGAGCAAACAGG
rnacentral:rRNA from 1 species